GAUGAACGCUAGCGGCAUGCUUAACACAUGCAAGUCGGACGGGAAGUGGUGUUUCCAGUGGCGGACGGGUUAGUAACGCGUAAGAACCUGCCCUUGGGAUGGGAACAACAACUGGAAACGGUUGCUAAUACCCCGUAGGCUGAGUAGCAAAAGGAGUAAUCCGCCCGAGGAGGGGCUCGCGUCUGAUUAGCUAGUUGGUGAGGCAAUAGCUGACCACGGCGAUGAUCAGUAGCUGGUACGAGAGGAUGAUCGGCCACACUGGGACUGAGACACGGCCCAGACUCCUACGGGAGGCAGCAGUGGGGAAUUUGCAGCAAUGGGCGAAAGCCUGACGGAGCAAUGCGGCGUGGAGGUAGAAGGACCAGGGGUGAUGAACUUCUUUUCUCAGAGAAGAAGCAAUGACGGUAUCUGAGGAAUAAGCAUCGGCUAACUCUGUG
rnacentral:rRNA from 1 species